GAGCUAGAGUGCGCAAGCUAAUAUUUUUAAAAUGACCACAUCAAACAAGACACCUCCUGGUGCUAACCCUAAGCAGUUGGAAAGGACUGGAACAGUACGGGAAAUUGGGUCACAAGCUGUUUGGUCACUCUCAUCUUGUAAACCAGGAUUUGGAGUGGAUCAGUUACGAGAUGACAAUCUAGAAACUUACUGGCAAUCAGAUGGAUCCCAGCCUCAUUUAGUGAACAUACAAUUCGGAAGAAAAACAACAGUGAAGGCAUUAUGUAUUUAUGUGGAUUACAAAUCUGAUGAAAGCUACACUCCAAGCAAGAUCUCAGUCAGAGUUGGAAAUAGUUUUCACAACCUUCAGGAAAUUCGGCAACUUGAAUUGGUGGAACCAACUGGCUGGAUUCAUGUUCCCUUAACUGAUAAUCAUAAGAAGCCAACUCGCACUUUCAUGAUACAGAUUGCUGUUCUAGCCAAUCAUCAAAAUGGAAGAGAUACCCACAUGAGACAGAUUAAAAUAUACACACCAGUGGAAGAGAGCUCCAUUGGUAAAUUUCCUAGAUGUACAACUAUUGAUUUCAUGAUGUAUUGCUCAAUAAGGUGACCUAAGAACAAAAGUCAUUAAACAUCUUAUCAGUAAAAA